UCGCGCGCGUGUGUCGUGCGCGCGCGCGCGCGGACGUCAAAAAGCGCUCACCAGUCGAAAGGACACGCGCGGAUGUAUUAACGCACGUGGCGUGCGCAUCGCCCGCAGAGUACGUCGUUCGCAUUCCUCUUCCGCGUUCGCGCCGCCUCUCCUCUCAACAAGCGAACUUACCCCCGCCUCGGCGUCUUUCAUCGCCGUUGGCGGUUUUUCAACCUCGCAAAACUAAAGAUGGAUUUUUUAGGACACCUCCGAGAAACACUUUGGAGCCUCUCCCUGUACAACACCGCGUCGGCGACGAAUUAACUCGGUCGAGGUUGGUGUGCCACGGGGCUACAUUCUGCGUGUCGAACUUUUUUUGUUGUUCUCAUUCAGCGUCGAAUCGUCGCGAGCGUGCGUUCGAUGUGCGUGGCGUUCGAUCAACUGACAAGUUUCGUGUGUCUUAUUCGCGUUCAUUCGUGCAGGUCGACGCACGCGGAAUCGGCGUCGACGCGUCCACACGCGUCCACUCGCGUCCACUUGAUUUAUUUGUAAUUUGUAACAACCCACUGUAAGCUAUAGUGCGCUCCUAAUACAAUGUCGUCUAAUCUAUAUGCUCGCG
rnacentral:lncRNA from 1 species